GACAGAGGGUGCUAGCGUUGUUCGGAAUCACUGGGCGUAAAGCGCGUGUAGGCGGUCCGAUAAGUCGAGUGUGAAAGCCCGAGGCUCAACCUCGGAAGUGCAUUCGAAACUGUCGGGCUUGAGUACGGGAGAGGGAAGUGGAAUUCCUGGUGUAGAGGUGAAAUUCGUAGAUAUCAGGAGGAACACCGGUGGCGAAGGCGGCUUCCUGGACCGAUACUGACGCUGAGACGCGAAAGCGUGGGGAGCAAACAGG
rnacentral:rRNA from 1 species